rnacentral:rRNA from 1 species
CAUUAUCGUACAACGGAGGCACAAGGGCUGUCGCUGACCUUCAAAGGUUGUGCACGCCCCAUGUGCUCUCUCACACAUCCAUCUCACCCCUUUGUGCAUCACCGCGUGGGUCCCCCUCACGGAGGGCUCGCGUUUUCACAUAAAACUCAAUACAGUGUAGAAUGUUUUCUUUUUAAUUUGCGGUCACACGCAAUCAAUACAACUUUCAACAACGGAUCUCUUGGCUCUCGCAUCGAUGAAGAACGCAGCGAAAUGCGAUACGUAAUGUGAAUUGCAGAAUUCAGUGAAUCAUCGAAUCUUUGAACGCACCUUGCGCCCCUUGGCAUUCCGAGGGGCACACCCGUUUGAGUGUCGUGAAAUCAUCAAAACCCUUUUUCUUCGGAGAAGGAUUUUGGACUUGGAGGUUUGAUGCUCGCUUUCACUUUCGAAAGCGAGCUCCUCUCAAAUGAAUUAGUGGGGUUUGCUUUGUCGAUCCUUGACGUGAUAAGAUGUUUUUACGUUUUUGAUUUGGCACUGUGCCCGCUUCCAACUGGUCCUCAUGGACGACGAUGGUGCUUCGGUCACCGCCAUCCACAUUGGCGGGAGGCUGGACCCACAAAAAAACCUUGACCUCAAAUCGGGUGAGACUACCCGCUGAACUUAAGCAUAUCAAUAAGCGGAGGAAAAGAAACUAACAAGGAUUCCCCUAGUAACUGCGAGUGAAGCGGGAAAAGCUCAAAUUUAAAAUCUGGUGGUCUUUGGCCAUCCGAG